UUUGCCUGCCGUACGAUAACUUCUGACAUGGCGUGCGAGCAGUGUGUGUGUACGGUGUAGUAUCCUUGUUGUGCUUCAUUUGGCGUCUGUCACUGUGUCGUCCAGACGGCAGUUCCUCUUUGUGUUGCUAGGAAUCAGCCUUCGUGUCAGUCAGAGAGGGAAAGGAAAAAAGAGAUGAAUAGUAACAUGGAAAUGAGUACCAUUGAGGUUCCAACUGUGGAUGGAUAAGAGGAAAGAGGACGAGGUCUCCCAUACUGAACCGAUUUCUUUCCAAUAUUUCCUGGAUCUGGUAGGAACUAGUGGACCCUGGAACUAUCUGGUUUUCCUACUUUGUGCUACAUUGGGACCUCGUCUGCAACAGAAGAUUCCUAUAUUCAACCACCUUCUCUGCCAGUUUCUUCGUCAGGUUGUUCACUUCACCUUUCACAGGUUUCAUCAUUGAUGCGUUUGGUCGCCGAUUGAGUCUGCUAGUGAGCUUGGCUCUGUUCAUACCAA